CGGGUGAGUAACACGUGGAUAACCUACCUAUAAGACUGGGAUAACUUCGGGAAACCGGAGCUAAUACCGGAUAAUAUUUUGAACCGCAUGGUUCAAAAGUGAAAGACGGUCUUGCUGUCACUUAUAGAUGGAUCCGCGCUGCAUUAGCUGGUUGGUAAGGUAACGGCUUACCAAGGCAACGAUGCAUAGCCGACCUGAGAGGGUGAUCGGCCACACUGGAACUGAGACACGGUCAG
rnacentral:rRNA from 1 species